rnacentral:rRNA from 1 species
GAUUGAACGCUGGCGGCAUGCUUUACACAUGCAAGUCGAACGGCAGCACAGGGAGCUUGCUCCUGGGUGGCGAGUGGCGAACGGGUGAGUAAUGUAUCGGAACGUGCCUGGUAGUGGGGGAUAACUACUCGAAAGAGUGGCUAAUACCGCAUGAGAUCUUUGGAUGAAAGCGGGGGACCUUCGGGCCUCGUGCUACUGGAGCGGCCGAUAUCAGAUUAGGUUGUUGGUGGGGUAAAGGCCUACCAAGCCUGCGAUCUGUAGCUGGUCUGAGAGGACGACCAGCCACACUGGGACUGAGACACGGCCCAGACUCCUACGGGAGGCAGCAGUGGGGAAUUUUGGACAAUGGGCGCAAGCCUGAUCCAGCAAUGCCGCGUGCAGGACGAAGGCCUUCGGGUUGUAAACUGCUUUUGUACAGAACGAAAAGUCUCUGGCUAAUAUCUAGAGAUCAUGACGGUACUGUAAGAAUAAGCACCGGCUAACUACGUG